rnacentral:rRNA from 1 species
CCUACGGGUGGCAGCAGUGAGGAAUAUUGGUCAAUGGACGAGAGUCUGAACCAGCCAAGUAGCGUGAAGGAUGACUGCCCUAUGGGUUGUAAACUUCUUUUAUAUGGGAAUAAACCGUUCCACGUGUGGGAUUUUGUAUGUACCAUAUGAAUAAGGAUCGGCUAACUCCGUGCCAGCAGCCGCGGUACUACGGAGGAUCCGAUCGUUAUCCGUAUUUAUUGGGUUUAAAGGGUGCGUAGGCGGACUGUUAAGUCAGCGGUAAAAGCCCGGGGCUCAACCCCGGCGAGCAGUUGAAACUGGCUGUCUUGAGAAGUCGAGAGGGAUGCAGAAUGCGCAGUGUAGCGGUGAAAUGCGUAGAGAUUGCGCAGAACUCCGAUUGCGAAGGCAGCAUACCGGCGGCGAACUGACGCUGAGGCACGAAAGCGUGGGUAUCGAACAGGAUUAGAUACCCUUGUAGUC